UGCCAUAGCUUUUGAAGUUAUGAUGAAAAUAAAUCUCUGCUUUGCUCAGCAGUGGGAUUCUGUCCAGCAUCUUAAACUCCAAAAGAGGCUUUUUUUCCUCUCCCUUUUUGUAGGUUUAAUAACAAUCUCUUCUCCCUUGAUGCCCCUUUGUAGUGAUAGACAGAAUCGGUGUUUUCUGCAGAUAACACGACCCAAGAUCAAAAUGUGCAGAGGUGGAAUAAACGGCAUGUCGGCAUGUGAGGCCCGUCUGCCUCUGCCCCAACACGGGCAGCUGGGUCUUCUCUCACCGCGACUUUCGUCCCCUUAGGAGCCUCCUCUCCUCGCUGCAGACUCUGCUCACACCUGUCUCGGUUUCAGGUUUAGAUGCUGGCUGUGACUUCUCCUACACAACUAAUGAGCAACUCUGACACACGAGCAAAUUUCUUGCUGGUGCCCUGAGGAAUGGGCGAUGUUUAAAGGAAAAAAGGAUCAAAUACUUGUCUCUUACUAUACCUGGUUUUGGCUGUGAUCUCCUUCCUACUGAGUUCAGUGACUUCAAAAAAAUCUUCAAACGAAAGGAAAAGAGACUGUCCCCGUGGGCUGGACGAUGGCAGCAUCCUUUUGGCAGAGGACCAGGAGAGGAAGACAUACAUUGUCCCAUCGUGGGGAAUUGGUUGGCUAAGUUGUGCAUCAGCCCAGAAAAGCGAAUACGUCCAGUUCUGCAGCCUUAAGUUUAUAAGAGUUAUGUGGACCCCUUAUAGACACUAAAGUUAUACAACCUGGUAAUACCAAUGCUACCACUGGAUGGUUUUGUGACUUCAGGCAAGUUUACAAAUCCUUUGAAUCCCAAUUUCCAUCUGCAAAUAUCUAUUUUUAAUAACGUUUACUCAUAGAGUUGUUAAAAUGGUUACAUCAUGGUCUACAUAAAGUAAUUCUUAAUAAAUGUUAAUUAUUAUUAUAUCUUGUAGCUCAAAUUUCCUAAAAAUAAACAACUGGGUGUCUCUGGUUCAGAUUUCUUUCUCUAAAAUAACUUCAAAUGACAAUACAUCUCUUAUAA